rnacentral:tRNA from 1 species
GCCAGCGUGGCACAAUCCGGUACUGCGAUGGCCUUGAGAGCCAUUUUCCUUCGGGAUAUCCCGGUUCAAAUCCGGGCGCUGGCG